GAUAGGUUCAGUAAAGAUGCUGAGGAAAAAAACACCACCUACUUCCUACACCACCUACUUCCUGCACCACCCAGUUGUUUUUCUUCUCAUCAUGAGAAGAUUUCCUUUCAAGUACAGACCGAAGAGCUCAUGCACCCCAAGUCCAAAGGGUGGGUAAUGAACUCAUCUGGAAUAGGCAUUUUGGUCCCUUGGUGGUUGACUGCAUCAGAUCUCUGGCAGAGACGGAACAGCCUGUCAACAUUUGAAUGAGGGGUAAAAAUGACAACAGAUCUGUGUAUUUAACCACACGUAGAUUCGCCGGGUAUYGGUGGGAAUUAACGAAAGCGUUACGGUGUGCCCAAGCAUCCUCUCUCCCCCACGGCUGCCGGUCUGCUGUGCUGCUCCUGUACAGAAGCCCAACUAGGUGCUUUCUCCUCAAGGCCUUGAUUUGGUGAAGCCCUUCUGCAGUUAUUCAACUUUAGGUGGGAAGAGGACACUUCAGGAAGAUACACUGGAAGAUGCAGAGACAAAGCCAGGAUGUUCCCAUCUGAUCUCCCCUUCCAGCUCCCCUGGAGGUAGUCUAGUUUGGAGAGAGAAGCCCUCACAGGAGAGAUUUUUGCCUUUCCAGAGGAACUCGGCCACAGGACACCCAAGAAAAGUGAUUUCUGCAGCUUCACUGCCCUGUCCAAAAUUGCUCUGUUCUCAGACCGGGGAAGCAGUGGGAGGAGAGCGGGAUGGUGCCUCUGGGGCCCACCGUUGCUGCCUGGGGUUGUGGCACUGCUCUGGGAAAGUGCCGAGCACAGGAGACCCACAGUGGCUGAGAUCUGCCAGCAUGGCUGCAAUGCAAGUAAUGCAAAUUGUUCUUUAUACAACUGCAUCCAUACUUUUACUGUUCUCAUUGCAAAUUCACUUGCUUUGCACCUGGAAACAUGCACCUGAAUGUCAUUUUGGUGUUGCUGGUGGUUGGAAAUCAAUAUUAAUUUACUUGUGCGUAUAAAUACAGAAAUGUAUUUAUAAGUUUCAGAUCAGUUGCAAACACAUGCAAAUUCUGUACAUAAAUUCUCACUCAUUUAUGUAAUCUGUUCAGUAAUGUCAUUAAGGAGAGCACAUCUAGUGCCUGGCUAGAGUUACAUUUGCAUGUGUUGAGAUCAAGCGGGAACAUUCACUUAACACACUCCCUUGCCCAUGCAUUUCCCAGUAGGCGGGUGAUGCUCCAACUCCAGGUAUCUCCUGCUCUUUUCCUGUGAUGUGCUAUUACUAUUUUUAAGGUUUUUUGGUCUUUUGAGCACAACUGAGUUUGGUUCAGGAUUUGGGGAAAUCUUCUGCUGCUUGUGGCAUAGGGAGGGGAUUCUGCAGUUUUUUUGGACUAAACACUUGUUGCAGUCGUCUGUGACUGCAGAUGCACUGGACUUGAUAGCAUAGCUGGUCUCCUCCAGUCUUGUGUUCCUCCAGCUACCGAUCACAAGAAGAGUAGGAAUUAUUUACAAUUCUACAAAAAGG
rnacentral:lncRNA from 1 species